AAAACAGUAGAGCUUUUUCUCGUACCUUUUGCAUCAUGGUCUAGUUAGUCUAAUUAAGCAAAAUGAAUUUUAGUUUAAUUCCCCGAAACUAGGUGAGCUACUUCGAAAUAGCCAUAAGAGCUAACCCGUCUCUGUUGCAAAAGAGUGGGAAAAUUUCCAAGUAGAGGCGAUAAACCUACCGCACCAAGAGAUAGCUGGUUACUCAAGAAAAGAAUUUUAGUUCUACCUCAAGUUUUUUUGUUUUAAUAAACCUUAACUAAACUUAAGAGCUAUUCAAAUAGGGCACAGCUUAUUUGAAAAAGGAUACAACCUAUUAUAUUGGGUAAUUAAUUAAGAAAACCUGUCAAGUGGGCCUAAAAGCAGCCAUCUUUCAAAAAGCGUUAAAGCUUUACUUUUAUUCUUUUAAAUAACCUUACUACUUUAUAACCCAUCAUCAAUAUUGAGCAACUCCAUAAAAAUAUGGAAGAUAUAAUGCUAGAACUAGUAACAAGAAGUAGCACUUCUCCAAAAUGUAAGCCUAAGCCACCUAAGACAUCCUACUGGCAAUUAACGUUUAUGAACCCAUUUUAUUAACACCACAAGAAAACCUUAAAUACCCCAACGUUAAACUUACACUAGAACAUUUAUGGAAAGAUUAAAAGAAAAAGAAGGAACUCGGCAAAUAUAUACCCCGCCUGUUUACCAAAAACAUCGCCUCUUGACUAAAUAUAAGAGGUCCAGCCUGCCCAGUGACAAAAUUCAACGGCCGCGGUACCCUAACCGUGCGAAGGUAGCAUAAUCACUUGUUCUUUAAAUAAGGACUUGUAUCAACGGCACCACGAGGGUUAAACUGUCUCCUUUUUCAUAUCAGUGAAACUAAUCUCCCCGUGAAGAAGCGGGGAUAAUUUUAUAAGACGAGAAGACCCCAUGGAGCUUUAAACCCAUCUACACUCCGCUUAACUCUACCUUUAAACCUCUCGGAUCCUGUAUGUUCUGGUUUUAGGUUGGGGUGACCGCGGAGCAUAAACUAACCUCCACAAUGAAUAAAUUUCUUCUUUAUCUAAGAUUAACACCUCUAAGAAUUAGUACUCUAACAUAAAAUGAUCCGAUAUUCGAUCAACGAACCAAGUUACCCUGGGGAUAACAGCGCAA
rnacentral:rRNA from 1 species